rnacentral:rRNA from 1 species
GCUGGCGGCAGGCUUAACACACGCAAGUCGAGCGGUAGCAGAUCUAGCUUGCUAGAUGCUGACGAGCGGCGGACGGGUGAGUAACGCGUAGGAACCUGCCCAGUAGUGGGGGAUAGCCCGGGGAAACUCGGAUUAAUACCGCAUACGCUCUACGGAGGAAAGAGGGGGCUUCGGCUCUCGCUAUUGGAUGGGCCUGCGUGAGUUUAGCUAGUUGGUGAGGUAAUGGCUCACCAAGGCGACGAUCUCUAGCUGGUCUGAGAGGAUGAUCAGCCACACUGGGACUGAGACACGGCCCAGACUCCUACAGGAGGCGGCAGUGGGGAAUAUUGCACAAUGGGCGCAAGCCUGAUGCAGCCAUGCCGCGUGUGUGAAGAAGGCUUUCGGGUUGUAAAGCACUUUCAGUGGGGAGGAAGGCCUCGUAGUUAAUAGCUGCGAGGAUUGACGUUACCCACAGAAGAAGCACCGGCUAACUCCGUG